AUCAUAUGGUGGGGGCACUUGCGGAUGAGGUCUUUGAGCCUCUCUCAAGUUUCAUGAAACAUUUUUCCAUCCAUCUGAAAAAAAUGGAUAAUGACUUUUCUGAUUU